rnacentral:rRNA from 1 species
AACGAACGCUGGCGGCAGGCCUAACACAUGCAAGUCGAGCGCCCCGCAAGGGGAGCGGCAGACGGGUGAGUAACGCGUGGGUAUCUACCUAGUGGUACGGAAUAGCCCAGGGAAACUUGGAGUAAUACCGUAUACGCCCGAAAGGGGAAAGAUUUAUCGCCAUUAGAUGAGCCCGCGUUGGAUUAGCUAGUUGGUGGGGUAACGGCCCACCAAGGCGACGAUCCAUAGCUGGUCUGAGAGGAUGACCAGCCACACUGGGACUGAGACACGGCCCAGACUCCUACGGGAGGCAGCAGUGGGGAAUCUUGGACAAUGGGCGAAAGCCUGAUCCAGCCAUGCCGCGUGAGUGACGAAGGUCUUCGGAUUGUAAAGCUCUUUUGGCGGGGACGAUAAUGACGGUACCCGCAGAAUAAGCCCCGGCUAACUUCGUGCCAGCAGCCGCGGUAA